rnacentral:rRNA from 1 species
UACGGAGGAUGCGAGCGUUAUCCGGAUUUAUUGGGUUUAAAGGGUGCGUAGGCGGAUUUUUAAGUCAGCGGUAAAAUGUCCGGGCUCAACCCGGGCCGGCCGUUGAAACUGGGGAUCUUGAGUGGGCGAGAAGUAUGCGGAAUGCGUGGUGUAGCGGUGAAAUGCAUAGAUAUCACGCAGAACUCCGAUUGCGAAGGCAGCGCACCGGCGCCCUACUGACGCUCAGGCACGAAAGCGUGGGUAUCGAACAGG